rnacentral:rRNA from 1 species
AGCCUUGCUGAAUUAUUCACCCUUGUCUUUUGCGUACUUCUUGUUUCCUUGGUGGGUUCGCCCACCACUAGGACAAACAUAAACCUUUUGUAAUUGCAAUCAGCGUCAGUAACAAAUUAAUAAUUACAACUUUCAACAACGGAUCUCUUGGUUCUGGCAUCGAUGAAGAACGCAGCGAAAUGCGAUAAGUAGUGUGAAUUGCAGAAUUCAGUGAAUCAUCGAAUCUUUGAACGCACAUUGCGCCCUUUGGUAUUCCAAAGGGCAUGCCUGUUCGAGCGUCAUUUGUACCCUCAAGCUUUGCUUGGUGUUGGGCGUCUUGUCUCUAGCUUUGCUGGAGACUCGCCUUAAAGUAAUUGGCAGCCGGCCUACUGGUUUCGGAGCGCAGCACAAGUCGCACUCUCUAUCAGCAAAGGUCUAGCAUCCAUUAAGCCUUUUUUUCAACUUUUGACCUCGGAUCAGGUAGGGAUACCCGCUGAACUUAAGCAUAUCA